AAUUCAAGCAAUAUUUGUAAGGAGACACACUUUCUUAUUUUGGUAAUUCAAGCGCUAUCAUAAGGAGACGCACUUUCUUGUUUUGGUAAUUCAAGCAACAUUGGAGACGCAUUUCCUUGCUUGGGAAAUUCAAGCAACAUUUGUAAGGAGAUGCACUUCCUUGUUUGGUUAAUUCAAGAAACAUUUGUGAGGAGACGCA
rnacentral:lncRNA from 1 species